AGAGUGAAAGGGCACACCUUUCAGUUCAGUUCCACAAAUACUUCUCAAGCAACUUCUGAGUAGUGUGGGAAUCUAGAGAUGGGUAAGACUAUGCACUUGUUUUUAAGGAGGUUGAUCUAAUAGAAAAUGAAAGCAGCAUAAAGACCAGAAUAUAUUACAGAACAAACAAGUGAUACCAAGAUAUUGAUUCCAACGAGAAUAUGAGGAUAGAAUAGUGCGUGAACAUUUUGAGCAAGGUACGGAGGACUUUAACAGAAGAGGAUGAAGAGAACAAGAAUAUUUAGGUGGGGACAUGAUUCAAAGAUACUCAGGUGGUAAAAUGAAGAAUUGUUUAUGCUCCAGGAUGUGGUUCACCGAGGCUACUUGGUUGGAGGGGAUGAGGCAGCACGUAAUAGGAAGGGAUCAUGAAAGCAUUUAAAAUAUGCUUUGAUUGGAAUCCAAACUUCACGCCGGAUUCUGUUAAAGAGUGCUCAGCCCAUCCGUGUGAUUAUUGAUAUAUGCUUCACUCGCUGGAUUGGAAAUUCCACAAGGCUCGGGAGUGUUCAGAAGACCACAAAGCAUUUCCAGGGGCCAGGGAGUGAACUUGGAUGGUGUCCUACAGAUUUCAUCGAAUUAACCUUUUAAGGUUAAUUUAUGUGCCAAGACUCAAAAGAGUAGCUUCCCUGGAUUUGGAAGACUGGAGAAGAGGAACUGGAGUCCAUGAGGGGAAAGGGCACCAUAACCCAACAGAAGAACAAGGCUCACCUCCUGUCCAGGCCUCCGGUUUUCAUUUGUACAACGAAGGAAUUUGCUUGUACGGUUCCUACUGCCUGCUGAUUUAGUCUAAGAAGCACGGCAUAUGUAUAACAGAUGGAGAACUUUCCCUGGGAAAUUUGACCACUUGAGUCAGAGGAGAAAAUGCGCCCAAACCCGAAAUUCCACAAAACUUGGAGAAUAUUUGCACUUGCCCUUGAAUGUAGUUAACUCAAAAGUAUCCCUUGCAAGGUUCUCAUCAACUGAGCGAAGUGCCUUCAUUUUGCUGGGUUUAGUGAAGAAUGAGUCUAGAAAGAGGCCAUGGGGAUAGUGUGUUUUACAACCAGACCCCUAUCCCCCCAUCUUCCAAGGAUGAGCGGAAAUUGUUCCUUUCUGUCCUCUCUCCUGAUGCCGUUUUCUCUCACCUGGUUUCCUCAUGACUCUUAGCUAAGUCCCAGCUAGUGACUCUUUAUUGUGACACAGGUAACACAGUUGGAGUUGGUGAAAAUUUUUGAAAGAACUAAAGCCCAUCUGAUUUGUUGAAAAACAAAAAUAUCCAACAAUGAGGUGAAGAGACCUCAUUUCCCCAUUAUUCAUCCAUUUAAUAUUUCCCGAGUACCUUCUGUGUUUCAAACAUUUUUCUAGUUGUUUGGGAAAUGUUAGUGAAUAAUGUGGAUCGAAAUGGCUACCCUUGCUUUAGGUGUGUAAAUGUUAUGGGAAGAGUGGAUCAGGGUGUGAGGGGCGAGCAGAUUACAGCACUGGGAAGUAUAGGGAAGCCUCCUUGGGAAGUUGAGAUUGGGCUAGGAAUUGAAGGAUCUAGGAAUUGGCUAAGUGGCUAUGUGGGAGAAUAAUCUAGGCAAAGGGACAGCUAGAAGUGACGGUUUGAGUUGGGAGCUUGGUCAUACACUUGAGGAACAGUAAGGAAGCCAGCAUGGCUGGUGCAAGGAGAGAAAAUAAUGGGCGGGAAAGGAAGACAAAGAGAAAGGGGCCAGAUUGGACCUUUGUAGGUUCUUAUAAGGAUUUCAGCUUUUAUUCUGCAUGGAGAGCCAUUGGAGGGUCUGAGCAAAUCAGUAACACCACCUGACACUCCAGCUGCUGGGUACAGGUAGGGUGGCAUUGGGGCAAGAGUUUGUAGGGAGAGCAAAGGAAAUCAAGACAACCAGUUAGAGUUUAUUGUGGAAGGUCGGGGGAGAGUGAUAAUGGCUUACACCAGGCCAGAGUGGUAACAGCAAGUGGUGGUAACCAGGAGUCAGAUUCCGGAUAAUUCAAACAGCACAAAAUCCUGGGAGAUUGGGGAUGAGAUGUGAGGAAGAGAAAAACCAUUGAUCAAGAAGACAUUAAAUGUAAGCUACUAGAAGGAUGGAGUCUCCAUCAACUUAGACACUUGAGAAAGUAUGUAAACUAAUGUGGAAGGAUUAUUUGGGUUUGGGGAAAUGUUUGCUUAAUGGAAGUCUUCCAAAUGCAUCCUGAGUGGAGCUCCUCAAUUACACCCAUAGUUGCAUUAAGUGGUGGCCAUGACUGGUAGAGCAAAGGAGACUGAGGCAGAAAGGAGGUGAAUGAGGAGUGAGGGAUAGAGUAACAUUUAUUGUGUUCCAGUCACUGUAUGAGGCCUUUUUUUUUUUUUUUUUUUUGNNNNNNNNNNNNNNNNNNNNNNNNNNNNNNNNNNNNNNNNNNNNNNNNNNNNNNNNNNNNNNNNNNNNNNNNNNNNNNNNNNNNNNNNNNNNNNNNNNNNNGUUACCACUGAGCCGUGAUGGGAACUCCUGGCCUCUUUUUUUACAAGAAAAAUUAUUUAGGUUUAAAGUGUACAAUGUGAGUAUGAAAUAAUGCCAUUUGCAGCAACAUGGAUGAACAUAGAAGUCAUCUCACUAAGUGAAAUAAGACAGAGUAAGACAAAUACUCUUAGAUAUAUGAGACACUAAUAUGUCCAGUCUAAUAAUGAUGACACAGUAGAACUUGCAAAACAAAAACAGACUCAAAGGUUUUGAAACCAAACUCAUGUUUACCAAAGAGGAAAUGAGGGGAGGGGAAGGGUAAUUUAGGGGCUUGGGAUUGAUGUAUAUACAUUGCUAUAUAAGAAAUAAAUGGGUAACUAGGACCUACUCUAUAGCACAGGGAAACUUACUCAAUGCUGUAUAAUAACUUAUAUGGGAAAAGAAUCUGAAAAGGAAUGGAAGGAAUGGAUAUAUGCAGACAUAUAAUUGAUGUACUUUGCUGUAGGCCUUAAAUUAACACAACUUUGUAAGUGAACUAUAUGCCAAUAAAAUAAAAU
rnacentral:lncRNA from 1 species